AUGGCGGCCGCCGCCAUCUCCCACCUCCGCCGGGGCGCGCAGCGCCACGCGCUCCUAUACCUCUCGCGCCGCCACUUCUCCUCUCCGUCCUCCCUCGCCGCCGCAGCCCCGCUCGCCGCCGCCGCUCGCCGCCUUCUCUCUACGUCGGUGGAGUCCGGCACGUCCUCGAAGGCGGGAAGCUAUAAGCCCCCGCCCCUCGACCCCUUCCGCGCUGCCCUCGCUCCAGCGUCGCCGCCGCUGGAGUCGCCUCCCCUCGAGGAGCCACCCGCUACCCCGCCGCUCCCGGAGGUAGCUUCUGCGGCCGCGGGGCCCGAGCAGGAUCCGGUGGUUUUGCAGAACGAGCAAUUGGAGGGCCUGAAGGCAGGGCUGGAGGCGGUGAGGAGUAGGGAGGAGUCGCCGGAGGAGAAGGAAGCGUGGUGGUUGCUCAACCGCGCGGUCGUGAAUUACUGCGGCAGCGCCGUUGGCACGGUGGCAGCGAACGACCCGUCCACGGCCAACCAUAUGCUUAAUUACGACCAGGUCUUCAUCAGGGAUUUCGUGCCGUCUGCCAUCGCCUUCCUCCUCAGAGGCGAGAGCGACAUCGUGAAGAACUUCUUGCUGCACACCUUGCAGCUCCAGAGUUGGGAGAAGACAGUGGAUUGCUACAGUCCUGGUCAGGGGUUGAUGCCUGCUAGUUUUAAAGUCAGAUCCGUGCCUUUAGAUGGAAACAAUGAAGCAUUUGAGGAGGUUCUUGACCCUGACUUCGGAGAGUCAGCCAUUGGGCGGGUAGCACCUGUCGACUCUGGACUUUGGUGGAUAAUUCUACUGAGGGCAUAUGGUAAAAUUACUGGAGACUAUGCACUACAAGAAAGGGUUGAUGUGCAGACAGGCAUCAGACUAAUCCUGAAUUUAUGCUUGACUGAUGGAUUCGACAUGUUCCCUACGUUGUUAGUCACCGAUGGAUCAUGCAUGAUUGAUCGGAGGAUGGGAAUCCAUGGGCAUCCUCUUGAGAUCCAGGCUCUGUUCUAUUCUGCUUUGCGCUGUGCCCGUGAAAUGGUCAGUACAGAUGAUGGAUCUAAGAACUUGAUCCGUGUUAUCAACAACAGGCUCAGUGCUCUGUCCUUUCACAUAAGAGAGUACUAUUGGGUUGAUAUGAAGAAGAUAAAUGAGAUUUAUCGCUACAAGACUGAGGAGUACUCACAUGAUGCCAUCAAUAAGUUCAACAUCUACCCAGAGCAAAUCCCAUCCUGGCUUGCAGAUUGGAUUCCUGAUAAGGGUGGUUACCUUAUAGGAAACCUACAACCAGCUCAUAUGGAUUUCAGGUUUUUUUCUCUUGGAAAUCUCUGGGCGAUUGUUUCCUCUUUAGCAACUCAAAAGCAAGCAGAGGGUAUCCUGAACCUCAUUGAAACCAAAUGGGAUGAUAUAGUUGCAAAUAUGCCUCUCAAGAUAUGCUACCCUGCUCUGGAGUACGAGGAAUGGCGUAUUAUCACUGGUUGCGACCCCAAAAACACGCCCUGGUCGUAUCAUAACGGUGGAUCUUGGCCUACAUUGCUAUGGCAGUUCACCCUAGCCUGUAUCAAGAUGGGUAGGCCUGACUUGGCAAGGAGGGCUGUUGAAGCCGUGGAGAAGAGGCUCUCAGAUGACAAGUGGCCAGAAUAUUAUGACACCAGGACAGGAAGGUUUAUUGGAAAACAGUCGAGGCUAUAUCAGACAUGGACAAUUGCAGGGUUUCUUAGCUCUAAAAUGCUUUUGGACUGUCCAGAGAUGGCAUCAAUAUUAAUAUGUGACGAAGAUCUCGAGCUACUGGAAGGCUGUGCUUGUGGCCUGAGCAACAGCGCUCGCAUCAAAUGCUCCCGGCGUGCAGCCAGGUCUCAAGUCCUUGUGUAG
rnacentral:rRNA from 1 species